CCUACGGGAGGCAGCAGUGGGGAAUAUUGGACAAUGGGCGAAAGCCUGAUCCAGCAAUGCCGCGUGAGUGAUGAAGGCCUUAGGGUUGUAAAGCUCUUUUACCAGGGAUGAUAAUGACAGUACCUGGAGAAUAAGCUCCGGCUAACUCCGUGCCAGCAGCCGCGGUAAUACGGAGGGAGCUAGCGUUGUUCGGAAUUACUGGGCGUAAAGCGUACGUAGGCGGUUAUUCAAGUCAGAGGUGAAAGCCUGGAGCUCAACUCCAGAACUGCCUUUGAAACUAGAUAGCUAGAAUCUUGGAGAGGUGAGUGGAAUUCCGAGUGUAGAGGUGAAAUUCGUAGAUAUUCGGAAGAACACCAGUGGCGAAGGCGACUCACUGGACAAGUAUUAGACGCUGAGGUACGAAAGCGUGGGGAGCAAACAGGAUUAGAUACCCUGGUAGUCCACGCCGUAAACGAUGAUAACUAGCUGUUCGGGCUCUACGAGCUUGAGUGGCGCAGCUAACGCAUUAAGUUAUCCGCCUGGGGAGUACGGUCGCAAGNUUAAAACUCAAAGGAAUUGACGG
rnacentral:rRNA from 1 species